rnacentral:rRNA from 1 species
UGAGUAACACGUGGGGAACCUGCCCCUAAGUCUGGGAUACCAUUUGGAAACAGGUGCUAAUACCGGAUAAUAAAGCAGAUCGCAUGAUCAGCUUUUGAAAGGCGGCGUAAGCUGUCGCUAAGGGAUGGCCCCGCGGUGCAUUAGCUAGUUGGUAAGGUAACGGCUUACCAAGGCGACGAUGCAUAGCCGAGUUGAGAGACUGAUCGGCCACAUUGGGACUGAGACACGGCCCAAACUCCUACGGGAGGCAGCAGUAGGGAAUCUUCCACAAUGGACGCAAGUCUGAUGGAGCAACGCCGCGUGAGUGAAGAAGGUUUUCGGAUCGUAAAGCUCUGUUGUUGGUGAAGAAGGAUAGAGGUAGUAACUGGCCUUUAUUUGACGGUAAUCAACCAGAAAGUCACGGCUAACUACGUGCCAGCAGCCGCGGUAAUACGUAGGUGGCAAGCGUUGUCCGGAUUUAUUGGGCGUAAAGCGAGCGCAGGCGGAAAAAUAAGUCUAAUGUGAAAGCCCUCGGCUUAACCGAGGAACUGCAUCGGAAACUGUUUUUCUUGAGUGCAGAAGAGGAGAGUGGAACUCCAUGUGUAGCGGUGGAAUGCGUAGAUAUAUGGAAGAACACCAGUGGCGAAGGCGGCUCUCUGGUUCUGCAACUGACGCUGAGGCUCGAAAGCAUGGGUAGCGAACAGGAUAAAAUACCC